GACCGCCGCGUGGAGCCCUGGACGGCUGCGAGCCUGCUCGAGCGGCUUUCCUUCUUCCACCGCCUUCUGUCUUCGCUCUGCGCGGGCCGCACGGUGGGGCUGCAGCGGCGAAAGCGGCUGAAGUCCAGGCGCUCUUAUCUGCAACCUCCUGGCGACGCUGACAAGCAGCCGCGUGAGUUUCCCGGGCACCAAGAGGCCCUGGGAGGAGACACCUCACUCUGACUUUUGGCAGUUUUUGCCCUUCCCGCAAGGCAAAGAGGGAGGGACUUGGUCCAAGCCUUUCCCGUACUCGGAGAGGUGCUGUUACAUCCAGUUGCACCUCCCCACGGCCCUUGGAGAGGUGUGUUUUCUCCUGCAGUACCCCAAGGGAGCGGGCCUAGGGGGUGGAGUUUGUAUCCUUUGGCUGUUCUGGCAGGACACCUUUGCCCAAUAAGCACUGACCGAGUUGCAAAAAAAAAAAUCAGCAUUUUCAAGGAUAUGCCGUAACAGAGCAAUUCACCUGGUUAUGAAUAGGGCUUGAGAAUCGCAGGAAGUGAAUUUUGUUACCUGACUAGUUUAUUGCUUAAGAGUAGAGGCUUUAGGCGUACUCACGCUUAAACUGGCAGAGAGGCCACGGAUUAUCCAGAUUACACACUGGGAUCACCCAGCUGGAAACAAUCUACACCUCAAGACAUCUUACGAUUUCACAGAGAGAUGCUGACUGUUAUGUUUCUGUCGGCACAACCCCAAGCCCCAACCGACAAAAGUGCUUCAGAAACUUCAUUCACUGUAAUUAUUGUCAGGUCGUGUAAUGGGAUAGUCCAGUUGGGGGAAAAAGUUGAGUAACUAAAUAAUGUAAUAGAUUGAGGGAUUUUUUUUUAGAGCCUUGUACUUUGCAUAGCAUACAAUUCACUCAUUUUAAAUGUACAGUUAUUUUUAGUCAAUUUACAGAGUUUUGCAACCAUCACCACAAUCCAAUUUUAGAACAUUUCCAUCACCCUUCCCAAAUUCCCAUAAGCUUGUUUGCAGUUAAUCCCCCCUCCCACCUCUAGCCCUCACAACCACUUAUCUGCUUUCUGUCUCUAUAUAGUUGCUUUUUCUGGACAGUUCAUAUGAAUAGAAUCGUACAAUAUGUGGUCUUUUGUGACUGGCCUUUUUUACUUAGCAUGAUGUUUUCCAGGUUCAUCCUUGUUUUAGCAUGUAUCAGUACUUCAUUCCUUUUUAUGGCCAGAUAAUAUUCCAUGGUAUGGAUAUACCACAUUUGUUUAUCCAUUUAUCAUUUGAUGGACAUUUGAGUUGUUUCCAUUUUUUGGUUGCUAUGAGUAAUCUUAUUGUGAACAUUUGUGUGGACAUAUAUUUUCAGUUCUCUUGAUUUCGCUGUCCUGCGCUGAUGCUCUCCUAACACCCUUAGCAGAAAGAUCUCUAUUAUAACACUUAACAUACUGCUCUGUAAGCUUGGAUUCAUUCUCUGUCUCUUCACUAGAGAGGGCAAGGACCAUGUUCACUUAUUCUCUGGUAUAGGAGUGGAAUUUCUGGGUCAUAUGAUAACUGUGUGUUUAACUUUUUUAGGAAUUUCCAGACUGUUUUCCAAAGUGGCUGUACCAUUUAAAAUUCCCAUCUGUAAAUGUGAAGGUUCCAGUAUCUCCACAUCCUUACCAGCACUUACUUUGCCUAUCUUUUUGUUUAGUAUCUCAUUGUGAUGUUAAUUUGCCUAGACUGAGUGGCAUUUGGUUUAGCUAGUUUUAUUUAACUUUAAUGAAUACCUUUUUAAAUUUUAAAUUUAAAUAUUUUAAAUUUUAAAUAUUUUAAUCUAGGAGCUGAAAUGAAUAAUACAUGGUCCCUCUCUGCAAGGAACUCAUGGUUCCUUCAGGGAGACAGACAAACAGAUAAUGACAGUCCAGUGUGUUAAGUGCUCUGAUGGAGUUGAGCACAGGAUGCUGUGAGGAGCAGAGAAGGGAGACACCUAACCUAGGUUGGGGGAGGAUGGAGGAAAGUAUUAAAUAAGCAUUUUCUAGAAGGGGCUUUAAUGAGCCUCUAGUUUUCUUUCAUGUAUUUUUAUCAAAAUUAUACAUGUACCUAGUUUUACAAAUAGUUCUACAAGGUUUACUAUUUAAAAACAAAAGGAGUCCUAGCUUUCCUUCCCAUUCCCUGCUCCCACAAAAGCAGUCACUUUCUCUUCUUUUAACUUUUUGGAUAUUUACCUCUAUAUCUUUAAACAGCAUAGCAUGUUUUUAUUUGAGAAAAAAAUAAUCAGCUCUGCUAUAGGCCAAACAGUCACCAUCCUCCCUUGCACUGAUUUCUAAAUUGGUCAACCCCAUUAAAUAUUAACACAUGGUUAAUUAUGAAAGCCACAGUCACAAUGCCACCUACCUUCUUGCAAUUUCAAUGAAAGAAGACAGGCGUUGCCAACUGUUAGGUACUGGAGUGACUGAAGUAAGACAAGGUAGCCAUUUUAUUUUAUUUUUUUUUAUUUUUAUUUUUUUUGCAAGGCGAUCAGCCCUGUGCUAACAUCUGCCAAUCCUCCUCUUUUGUUGCUGAGGAAGACUGGCCCUGGGCUAACAUCUGUGCCCAUCUUCCUCUACUUUAUAUGGGACGCCACCACAGCAUGGCUUGCCAAGCAGUGCGUCCGUGCACGCCGGGGAUCCGGACCGGCGAACCCCAGGCCACCGCAGCGGAGCGCGUGCACUUAACUGCUUGCGCCACCAGGCCGGCCCCAUGGUAGCCAUUUUAGCAGUAUUUUUUUAAAAGAUUUUAUUUAUUUAUUUUUUCCCCCCAAAGGCCCAGUAGAUAGUUGUGUGUCAUAGCUGCACAUCCUUCUAGUUGCUUAGGUAGACAUUUUAAAGGAGUGGCUAAGGAGUUGUCUUCCUCAUUUGUACUUUAGUACUAUAUAACGUCAAUAAGCCAGAACCCAAUUGCACCUGUCAAUUAAAAAGAAUGUUAUUUUCACUCAGACUUUCAAAGAAAAAGCCAAAUCACAGACGGGAAGCGUAGUACAGGACAGAGGUUGGCAAACUCUGACCUGCGAACUAAGAAUGUUUUUUUCAGAUGAACAUUUACGAUCAGUUUGAUGAUAGGGAACACUGACUUUCAACCCCAGUUAAACAAGAUGUUACUUUUCUAUUCCAUUUUUUCAUUAGUAGACUUGUAUUACAAAACCUUGUAGUCAAUUAUAUUUUGGAUUUCAUCUAUAAAAAAUUUGUGGAAAUUUGUUUUCUCUCUUGUUAUGUAAGUACCUACAUAAUAUCCUUGAUUUUGCUUCUUGGCCCGUAAAGCCUAAAAUAUUUACUUAUCUGACCUUCACAGAAAAAGUUUUCUGAUUCCUGAUUUAAUGGAAUAAACAGAGGAAUGGAAAACAACUGCAACAUUCUUGCUGUGUGACCUUGGGAAGUCACUUCACUUCUCUGGUCUUGAUUUUCAUUAUCUAUAAUAUGGAGAUAAAGGGUGUUGUGUGGAUGAGAUAAACUAUAUGGUGAACCUCCCGCAUCCCCCCGCAUUAAUCAAGUUUUUGAUUAAUUAGUUAAUAAUACAAAUAUUUAUUGAGCUACUACUAUGUACCAAGAAUUGUUAAAGGCUUUAUGGAUACAGCAGCAAACAAAUUCCUGUCUUGGAAAAGAUUGCCAUUCUAAAUGAAAAGAGACUUAAGAUGCAAUGACUGGUCUGAGAUUGGAUCCUGAUUUGAACAGACUAGCUUUAUGAGACAUUUUGGGGAAAAGUAGGGAAAUAUGGACGGGUAUUAGAUGAUAUGGAAACUUAUCAACAUGGAAUGGUGGAGGUCAUUAUCUGAAAAAAGCAGUUACAAAGCAUUAUGUACAUGUAUUAUCUCAUUUUGGUAGAAAAUGUAUAUGUAUAUUAUAUAUACUUAGAAAAAGAUCUGGAAGGAUAUAUACUAAGCUGUUAACAGUGGUAAUUUCUGGGCGGUGGGAAAAUAGUGUUUCUAUUUACUUAUUCUUGUUUUCUAAUUUUCUACAGUGAACAUAGACUUGUAAAAAUAAAGGAUUCUAAUUUGAAAAAUAAUCUCUAUUUUCACGGAGCUUACAUGCUGGUGCCUCUUGUGAGUAUUAAUAUUGCCAAAUCUGCCACUUUUUCUGGGGGAACACAUGGAAGAAUAGAGAGUGCCCCUCCUCCUGCAGAUAACAAAGGAUCAAGGCGUUCUCUGUGAAAUAGCGGCAGAAUGUAAGCUGAUGCUGCCGGCAUUUCCCUUGGAGUUAUACUGGCUCAGCUCAAGAACCACCCCCUCUAAGUUGCCUUCCUGGAUUUAUUGAGCCCAAAGUUAUCCUUAUCUUCCCUGGGUUUACAUUCUACUGAAGAGUUGAGUGGAAAAAGGCAAAAUAUACAGAAAACUUUUCUGUGCUUUCCGGUACCCAACAUAGGACAUGUCAGCAUUCUGGACAGAAGAAACCAACAAGCAACAGAGAGGCCACCUCGAGCAGCUAGAAUCUCUCCAGCCCAGUGUUCUGUUUGAUGGGCUUCUAGGGGCUGUUUGAAGGGAGAUACCAACAGCCUGGAAAUUCCAAAUGGAAG